GACGAACGCUGGCGGCGUGCUUAACACAUGCAAGUCGUACGGUAAGGCCCUUUCGGGGGUACACGAGUGGCGAACGGGUGAGUAACACGUGAGUAACCUGCCCACAACUUUGGGAUAACGCUAGGAAACUGGUGCUAAUACUGGAUAUGUUCUCCUGCUGCAUGGUGGGGGUUGGAAAGCUCCGGCGGUUUUGGAUGGACUCGCGGCCUAUCAGCUUGUUGGUGGGGUAGUGGCCUACCAAGGCGGCGACGGGUAGCCGGCCUGAGAGGGUGACCGGCCACAUUGGGACUGAGAUACGGCCCAGACUCCUACGGGAGGCAGCAGUGGGGAAGAUUGAACAAUGGGCGCAAGCCUGAUGCAGCAACGCCGCGUGCGGGAUGACGGCCUUCGGGUUGUAAAACGCUUUCAGCAGGGACGAAGCUUUUUGUGACGGUACCUGCAGAAGAAGCACCGGCUAACUACGUG
rnacentral:rRNA from 1 species